AAAUAAAUUAGCCUAGUGGACAUGGCAUCUGCCCGGUAAACGGAACACUGUGGGUUCGAUUCCCAUCCCUGGACACUUUUAUUUU
rnacentral:tRNA from 1 species